rnacentral:rRNA from 1 species
GAUGGACGCUGGCGGCGUGCCUAAUACAUGCAAGUCGAGCGAACAGACGAGGAGCUUGCUCCUCUGACGUUAGCGGCGGACGGGUGAGUAACACGUGGAUAACCUACCUAUAAGACUGGGAUAACUUCGGGAAACCGGAGCUAAUACCGGAUAAUAUAUUGAACCGCAUGGUUCAAUAGUGAAAGACGGUUUUGCUGUCACUUAUAGAUGGAUCCGCGCCGCAUUAGCUAGUUGGUAAGGUAACGGCUUACCAAGGCAACGAUGCGUAGCCGACCUGAGAGGGUGAUCGGCCACACUGGAACUGAGACACGGUCCAGACUCCUACGGGAGGCAGCAGUAGGGAAUCUUCCGCAAUGGGCGAAAGCCUGACGGAGCAACGCCGCGUGAGUGAUGAAGGUCUUCGGAUCGUAAAACUCUGUUAUUAGGGAAGAACAAAUGUGUAAGUAACUAUGCACGCCUUGACGGUACCUAAUCAGAAAGCCACGGCUAACUACGUG